rnacentral:rRNA from 1 species
UACGUAGGGUGCGAGCGUUAAUCGGAAUUACUGGGCGUAAAGGGCAAGUAGGCGGCCAACUAAGUCGGAUGUGAAAUCCCCAGGCUUAACCUGGGAACUGCAUCCGAUACUGGAUGGCUUGAAUCCGGGAGAGGGAUGCGGAAUUCCAGGUGUAGCGGUGAAAUGCGUAGAUAUGUGGAGGAAUACCGAUGGCGAAGGCAGCCCCCUGGGAUAACACUGACGCUCAUGCACGAAAGCGUGGGGAGCAAACAGG